rnacentral:rRNA from 1 species
AGAUGACGACCGGCGCACGGGUGAGUAACACGUAUCCAACCUGCCGAUAACUCGGGGAUAGCCUUUCGAAAGAAAGAUUAAUACCCGAUGGCAUAACAGAACCGCAUGGUUUGAUUAUUAAAGAAUUUCGGUUAUCGAUGGGGAUGCGUUCCAUUAGGCAGUUGGUGGGGUAACGGCCCACCAAACCUUCGAUGGAUAGGGGUUCUGAGAGGAAGGUCCCCCACAUUGGAACUGAGACACGGUCCAA